rnacentral:rRNA from 1 species
AGAGUUUGAUCCUGGCUCAGGAUGAACGCUGGCGGCGUGCUUUAAGCAUGCAAGUCGAACGGUCCAAGUUUACUUGGAUAGUGGCAGACGGGUGAGUAACGGGUAGGAAUCUACCCCUUGGUGGGGAAUAACUGAUCGAAAGAUUGGCUAAUACCGCAUAAAUCCGAAAGGAAAAAGGACGUAACUGUUCGCCGAGGGAUGAGCCUGCUUGCUAUCAGCUAGUUGGUGAGGUAAUGGCUCACCAAGGCUAUGACGGCUAGGGGACGUGAGAGCGUGGUCCCCCACAAGGUCACUGAGAUACGGGGCCUACACCUACGGGUGGCAGCAACUGGGAAUAUUGCGCAAUGGACGAAAGUCUGACGCAGCGACGCCGCGUGCGGGAUGAAUGCCUUCGGGUUGUAAACCGCUGUGGAGAGGGAGAAAGAUCUGAUAGUACCUCUCUAGAAAGCACCUGCUAACUACGUGCCAGAAGCCUCGGUAAUGCGUAGGGUGCAAGCGUUAUCCGGAAUUAUUGGGCGUAAAGGGUUUCGUAGGCGGUUGGUUAAGUGGUGGGUUAAAGGCUGGGGCUCAACUCCAGAUAUGCCCAUCAAACUAGUCAACUAGAGGUAGUUCGGGGAUGUUGGAAUUCUUGGUGUAGGAGUGAAAUCCGUUGAUAUCAAGAAGAACACCAAAGGCGAAGGCAGACAUCUAGAACUAUCCUGACGCUGAUGAACGAAAGCUAGGGGAGCGAAAGGGAUUAGAGACCCCUGUAGUCCUAGCCGUAAACGAUGAACACUAGCUGGUGGUCCUUGAGAUCACUGGCGUAAGCUAACGCGUUAAGUGUUCCGCCUGGGGAGUACGGUCGCAAGACUAAAACUCAAAGGAAUUGACGGGGAAGCGCACAACCAGCGUGCCAUGUGGUUUAAUUCGAUACAAAACGAUGAACCUUACCUAGGCUUGACAUCCUGAUCAUAUUUUAUGGAAACAUAGAAGUCAGUUCGGCUGGAUCAGUGACAGCUGCUGCAUGGUUGUCGUCAGUUCGUGUCGUGAGGCGUCCUGUUAAGUCAGGUAACGAACGCAACCCCUAUCGUGUGUUAAAUGUCCACGCGAGACUGCCCUUCUUAUUUGGAGGGAGGAAGGAGGGGACGACGUCAAAUCAGCAUGGCGCUUAUGCCUAGGGCUACACACAUGGUGUAAUGGAUGAGACAACGGGUCGCGACAGAGUAAUCUUGAGCUAAUCCUAAUAAACUCAUCCUCAGUUCGGAUUGGGGGCUGCAAUUCGCCCCCAUGAAGGGGAGUUGGUAGUAAUCGCGGGUCAGCUAUACCGCGGUGAAUACGUUCUCGCUUCUUGUACACACCGCCCGUCAAGUCAACAAAGUCAGCAGUGCCCGAAGUUGGUCCCUCUAACCUGGUUUACCAGGAAGAGGCUACCUAAGGCAAGGUUGGCGAUGGGGGCUAAGUCGUAACAAGGUA